GACAGAGGGUGCUAGCGUUGUUCGGAAUUACUGGGCGUAAAGGGCGUGUAGGCGGCCAACUAAGUCCGACGUGAAAUCCCCAGGCUUAACCUGGGAACUGCGUCGGAUACUGGAUGGCUUGAAUCCGGGAGAGGGAUGCGGAAUUCCAGGUGUAGCGGUGAAAUGCGUAGAUAUCAGGAGGAACACCUGCGGUGUAGACGGCUUACUGGACCAUAACUGACGCUGAGGCACGAAAGCGUGGGUAGCAAACAGG
rnacentral:rRNA from 1 species